CAACUACUUCCUCUGUCCCAAAUUUCUUGUCUUAGGUAUUAGAUACAUCCGUAUCUAGACAAAUCUAAGACAAGAAUUUUGGGACGGAGGGAGUACUUU
rnacentral:pre_miRNA from 1 species